rnacentral:rRNA from 1 species
AUGGUUCUGGCUGCCCAAAAAAAUAAGUUGUUCGAGGGGCUCGCGUCUGAUCUUGUUAAGGGGGGAGUGGGGAUAUUGCAGUAUGCAGAUGAUACAGUUAUCUGCUUCUCUCAUGAUGUGGAUAAGGCAGUAAAUGUUAAGCUGCUUCUCUAUUUGUUUGAAUUGAUGUCUGGGCUUAAAAUUAAUUUUGAUAAAAGCGAGGUUUUUUCGAUCGGUGGGGAUAAUGAUAUUGAUCAAUUUUAUGCUGGGAUGUUUGGGUGCCAGAUUGGCAAGUUUCCUAUGAGAUAUUUGGGGGUCCCAGUGACGUAUGCCAUGCUUAAAACUGUGGACUGGGACUUCUUAGAUGCUAAGCUUCUAAAGAGAUUGGCUGCCUGGAUUAGU